GCCAGAGUAGCAAAGUGCUCUGAGUGCUGGACUAUAACUCUGGAGACCAAGGUUCAAUUCCUUGCUUGGUCG